rnacentral:tRNA from 1 species
GGUGGGGUGGCUCAAUGGCGAGCGUCAGGAAUCAAUGAAUACCCUCAUAUAUUGUUGGAUUUACUGAGGCCUGAAGGGUGCGGGUUCGAGUCCUGUCCCCACCA